rnacentral:rRNA from 1 species
GAUGAACGCUGGCGGCGUGCCUAAUACAUGCAAGUCGAGCGAACGGACGAGAAGCUUGCUUCUCUGAUGUUAGCGGCGGACGGGUGAGUAACACGUGGAUAACCUACCUAUAAGACUGGGAUAACUUCGGGAAACCGGAGCUAAUACCGGAUAAUAUUUUGAACCGCAUGGUUCAAAAGUGAAAGACGGUCUUGCUGUCACUUAUAGAUGGAUCCGCGCUGCAUUAGCUAGUUGGUAAGGUAACGGCUUACCAAGGCAACGAUGCAUAGCCGACCUGAGAGGGUGAUCGGCCACACUGGAACUGAGACACGGUCCAGACUCCUACGGGAGGCAGCAGUAGGGAAUCUUCCGCAAUGGGCGAAAGCCUGACGGAGCAACGCCGCGUGAGUGAUGAAGGUCUUCGGAUCGUAAAACUCUGUUAUUAGGGAAGAACAUAUGUGUAAGUAACUGUGCACAUCUUGACGGUACCUAAUCAGAAAGCCACGGCUAACUACGUGCCAGCAGCCGCGGUAAUACGUAGGUGGCAAGCGUUAUCCGGAAUUAUUGGGCGUAAAGCGCGCGUAGGCGGUUUUUUAAGUCUGAUGUGAAAGCCCACGGCUCAACCGUGGAGGGUCAUUGGAAACUGGAAAACUUGAGUGCAGAAGAGGAAAGUGGAAUUCCAUGUGUAGCGGUGAAAUGCGCAGAGAUAUGGAGGAACACCAGUGGCGAAGGCGACUUUCUGGUCUGUAACUGACGCUGAUGUGCGAAAGCGUGGGGAUCAAACAGGAUUAGAUACCCUGGUAGUCCACGCCGUAAACGAUGAGUGCUAAGUGUUAGGGGGUUUCCGCCCCUUAGUGCUGCAGCUAACACAUUAAGCACUCCGCCUGGGGAGUACGACCGCAAGGUUGAAACUCAAAGGAAUUGACGGGGACCCGCACAAGCGGUGGAGCAUGUGGUUUAAUUCGAAGCAACGCGAAGAACCUUACCAAAUCUUGACAUCCUUUGACAACUCUAGAGAUAGAGCUUUCCCCUUCGGGGGACAAAGUGACAGGUGGUGCAUGGUUGUCGUCAGCUCGUGUCGUGAGAUGUUGGGUUAAGUCCCGCAACGAGCGCAACCCUUAAGCUUAGUUGCCAUCAUUAAGUUGGGCACUCUAAGUUGACUGCCGGUGACAAACCGGAGGAAGGUGGGGAUGACGUCAAAUCAUCAUGCCCCUUAUGAUUUGGGCUACACGCGUGCUACAAUGGACAAUACAAAGGGCAGCGAAACCGCGAGGUCAAGCAAAUCCCAUAAAGUUGUUCUCAGUUCGGAUUGUAGUCUGCAACUCGACUACAUGAAGCUGGAAUCGCUAGUAAUCGUAGAUCAGCAUGCUACGGUGAAUACGUUCCCGGGUCU